rnacentral:rRNA from 1 species
AUUGAACGCUGGCGGCAGGCCUAACACAUGCAAGUCGAGCGGAGCGGCGGACGGGUGAGUAAUGCCUAGGAAUCUGCCUGGUCGCGGGGGAUGACGUCCGGAAGCGGGCGCUAAUACCUCAUACUAUCACAUGAGCCUAUGCCGGAUUAGCUCGUUGUGGGGGUAAAGGCCUACUAAGGCGACGAUCCGUAACUGGUCUGAGAGGAUGAUCAGUCACACUGGAACUGAGACACGGUCCAGACUCCUACGGGAGGCAGCAGGGGUGAAUAUUGGACAAUGGGCGAAAGCGUGAUCCAGCCAUGCCGCGUGGGUGAAGAAGGUCUUCGGAUUGUAAAGCACUUUAAGUUGGGAGGCGUUACCAACAGAAUAAGCACCGGCUAACUUCGUGCCAGCAGCCGCGGUAAUAC